rnacentral:rRNA from 1 species
CAGUCGCCGCGGUAAUACGAAGGGUGCAAGCGUUACUCGGAAUUACUGGGCGUAAAGCGUGCGUAGGUGGUGGUUUAAGUCCGUUGUGAAAGCCCUGGGCUCAACCUGGGAAUUGCAGUGGAUACUGGGUCACUAGAGUGUGGUAGAGGAUAGUGGAAUUUCCGGUGUAGCAGUGAAAUGCGUAGAGAUCGGAAGGAACAUCAGUGGCGAAGGCGGCCAUCUGGGACAACACUGACGCUGAGGCACGAAAGCGUGGGGAGCAAACAGGAUUAGAUACCCGCGUAGUCCCUGUCUCUUAUAC